CUGAGGAACAGAGUUCUUCAGAGAUUACCAGAUGACACUCUUGGCCCUUCAGCAUCUUGGAUCCGACUGAACUUCAUGCCAACCAACCAAUUCACAUCAAGGGCGCAAUAUUACACUGGCAAAGUUGAUGUGAAAUAUGUUGUGCAGCGAAGGCUUUUGCGAGCGCAAAUGAAGAUGCCUCUUUUGCUUUGCAUCUCUGGUACAUGAUGAAGGACAUGGUUGUUAGAUAUCGUGAUCAUGCAAGAUUGCAAUGCCUAGAUGACAAGGCAGUUAUACCUGUCUGUGAGCCUGGUAUGCCGGUGUCAACUGGUGUAAGGUCACAUCACAGAGCUUUGGUUGCAGGAAAUCAACCCUCACUGCAAUGCCUUAACCAUGACUACCACCUUGCCGGUAUUGUAAGAUGUUCGGAAGAGUAUGUAGAUGGUGAAGAAUGGCUCCAGUGAGAUGAAUUCCAGGUAUGGUUUCACAAAAAAUGUGAGGACAUUCCAGAUGAAAUGUGGACACCUUACAGACUGGGAAUGUUCCUUGGGCCUGCUCUGAAUGCUCUUCAUGAAACGGUGGCGAUGAAUGCUUGAUGUAGAUGGUGAAAAAGGCCAGGUGUCACAGAACAUAUUAAAACAUUCCAGAGAUGGGACAACUUGCUGCUCUGACUCUUCACAUUUUACGCUCAAAUUCGAAUAUGGAUCAUCUGGGUACAAAAACAAGGUCACCGAGCCCAGAUAUGGAAAAACCUUAUUAACACUCUAGAGGAUAUUGAUGGAUGGCAACACAAGCAUUCCACUGUCCCAUAAUGAGACGUAGGCUUGAGGGCUGCAGUUCCACAGAGUGAGACACAUCUGCAAUAUCUCAUUAUCCCAGCACCUAGAUCUGGGGCCCUUGUUAGGCUCAGAGCAGAAGUUACAUUGUUCUGUUAACAGUUUUAACAUGAUAUCGCUUCAACCUGAAAAUAAUGACUUCAAUAAUUUCAAUCUGUCAUCUGUAUUAGUGCAAAAGAUGGGAUUUUGUUCUGGCUAUGAUACAGGUGUUUCUGUCUUUUGAAGGUAAACAGAGCAUGUUGUUGAAUAUGCUGUAAAGGAAACAACACCUUUACAUUUAGUGGAAGACAAUCUGUGUUCUAAACUAUUUUCAUCACCACUUUUCAUCCAAAAGGCUGUUGUAAAAGGCUAUUUCUUGGCGCUUGAUUUUUUUUUUGUCAACAAGCUUACCACUACAAACUUGAGCAUGUUUUACUGUGUUGACGAUUAUAUGAACAGGUAUAUUCAGUACAUGAUAGAUCAAGAUGGUCAAUCCCUAUAUUUGACAGAGAAACUUCAAUAGACCCAAUAUGUACUGCAACAGUCUCGAUAUUCAAGAUAUUCAAUAUUGUCACUGUUUUUAUCUGUUUUUGGUUGUAGACUAUAUAGCCAGAUAAGCAAAUGAAGGACAUUAUGCCUUCUUCCUCCCUUAUUUUGCUAAACCCAUCGAUUGAAGCUAUUUCCUGUAAUUUUGAUAUUGUACAUAUUUCAGGAGAAUUAAAGUUUGGUCGCAGUCCCUUGUAUUUGCUUGAAAUAUUUGGAUGUACAACUUUUACUUUUGCAAACAACUUUGGCACUAAUUGA